UGAAAGGCGAAACGUAAUGUGAAUCGCAACUAACAGUGAAUCAUUGAAUCUUUGAACGCAGGCCGCACCCAGCAAUAUCACUAUGUGUUAUUACUGGGUAUCUACGUAUGAGUGUCAGCCCAAUAUCUUUUCAGUUCAAGAUCAAGAUUGAGUAAUCAAUUGGAUAUCUUGAGCUUUUAAUUAAAAUUUUUCUCCCAUUCAUUCAUUUUUAGUUUUUGUAGAGGUGUCUCGGCACCUUUGCAAUUUCUAAAGAGGGGUGUUUGGGAGUUUUUUUUUAACCAAAUUUUUUUGUCUGGCCUCAUAUGUGGAAGAUUACCCGCUGGAUUUAA
rnacentral:misc_RNA from 1 species